CCUACGGGCGGCAGCAGUGAGGAAUAUUGGUCAAUGGGCGGAAGCCUGAACCAGCCAAGUCGCGUGAGGGAUUAAGGCCCUGCGGGUCGUAAACCUCUUUUGCCGGGGAGCAGAGGUCCGGACGUGUCCGGGCCGGGAGAGUACCCGGAGAAAAAGCAUCGGCUAACUCCGUGCCAGCAGCCGCGGUAAUACGGAGGAUGCGAGCGUUAUCCGGAUUUAUUAGGUUUAAAGGGUGCGUAGGCGGGCAUUUAAGCCGGCGGUCAAAUGUCGGGGCUCAACCCCGGCCUGCCGUCGGAACUGGGUGCCUUGAGUGGACGAGAAGUAUGCGGAAUGCGUGGUGUAGUGGUGAAAUGCAUAGAUAUCACGCAGAACCCCGAUUGCGAAGGCAGCAUACCGGCGCCCUACUGACGCUGAGGCACGAAAGUGCGGGUAUCGAACAGGAUUAGAUACCCCGGUAGUC
rnacentral:rRNA from 1 species